CCUCCCUCUCCGAGCCAAUCAGGAGGCAGCAAGCCGGGCUCAUGAAUACGGCCUCAGGGCAGCCGCCCUGUUCAAAUGGAGUUGACUGUUAAUACAGCGAGAAAGUUGAACACUCUAGUCAGCAUCCUUGGAAAGAUCACAUGGCUAGAAGCACCAGGAUUGCUAGAAACAUCAAGUUUCAACCAAUCUGCAUGGUACUGAUCCUGCAAUAAGUUUUAGGCAGGUGCAGCCCUAUACCCAUAUGGAGUCCUUGGAGAUUUGCACAGGCUGAGGGAUCUGCUGCACAGGGCUCACUGCAGGACCAGAGCCAAAGGGUUAAUAUUC